GGGGGCGUCCCGGUUUCGACGGGGGUGGAAGAAGCGAGCGUUGCGUGCCGAGGACCCGCAGGCCUCGUAAAAAGCGGGAAACUCAAUAACUGCCAACGACAACUUGGCGCUGGCGGCCUGAUACGGCCGCCCGUCCCCUCCGUGACCGCCCGCUAGCGGAACGGGACGGCGAUAGCGGGCUCCGACCCGGGAUGCUGGUGGCUGCCCGGGAAGGAAACCCAGCCGCCUGGCGGCCGGCGUGAGCGUGCCUGACGCGCUCGCCGGUGGCGAUGACCUAAAAGAAAGGCUACGCACGUAGAUACGCUCGGGGAAGCACUUCCGGACGCGGGUUCGAUUCCCGCCGCCUCCACCA
rnacentral:tmRNA from 1 species